AAGUCGUAACAAGGUUUCCGUAGGUGAACCUGCGGAAGGAUCAUUAAUAAACCUAGUCGUUCGCGUACACAGGGGCAACCCUCGCGCGAUGUCAGCAAUACCUAGGUCACCCUUGAAUAAACUACCCUUGUUGCUUUGGCGGGCCGCCCCUCGGGGCCAGCGGCUUCGGCUGCUGCGCGCCCGCCAGAGGACCACAACUCUUGUUUUUAGUGAUGUCUGAGUACUAUAUAAUAGUUAAAACUUUCAACAACGGAUCUCUUGGUUCUGGCAUCGAUGAAGAACGCAGCGAAAUGCGAUAAGUAAUGUGAAUUGCAGAAUUCAGUGAAUCAUCGAAUCUUUGAACGCACAUUGCGCCCUUUGGUAUUCCGAAGGGCAUGCCUGUUCGAGCGUCAUUAUAACCACUCAAGCCUUCGCUUGGUAUUGGGGUUCGCGGCUGCGCGGCCCCUAAAAUCAGUGGCGGUGCCUGUCGGCUCUACGCGUAGUAAUACUCCUCGCGUCUGGGUUCCGGUAGGUUGCUUGCCAGCAACCCCUAAAUUUUUUACAGGUUGACCUCGGAUCAGGUAGGGAUACCCGCUGAACUUAA
rnacentral:rRNA from 1 species